GUCAUACUACGGUGCAAUCAGGGAAAAAGUAAACGAUGACCCUCAAGGAACUCUAGGCUAAAAUGCGUAUCAAAAUGCAAAACCGAUCUUGGCUUGGGCUCCGUUCCGAGUCAGGUUUCUUU
rnacentral:sRNA from 3 species